rnacentral:rRNA from 1 species
AACGAACGCUGGCGGCAUGCCUAACACAUGCAAGUCGAACGAGACCUUCGGGUCUAGUGGCGCACGGGUGCGUAACGCGUGGGAACCUGCCCUUAGGUUCGGCAUAACUCCCCGAAAGGGGUGCUAAUACCGGAUAAUGUCUUCGGACCAAAGAUUUAUCGCCUUUGGAUGGGCCCGCGUUGGAUUAGCUAGUUGGUAGGGUAAAAGCCUACCAAGGCGACGAUCCAUAGCUGGUCUGAGAGGAUGAUCAGCCACACUGGGACUGAGACACGGCCCAGACUCCUACGGGAGGCAGCAGUGGGGAAUAUUGGACAAUGGGCGAAAGCCUGAUCCAGCAAUGCCGCGUGAGUGAUGAAGGCCUUAGGGUUGUAAAGCUCGUUUACCCGGGAUGAUAAUGACAGUACCGGGAGAAUAAGCUCCGGCUAACUCCGUG